UUCAAUGAAAAAAUUCGUGUAGUGGGAGAAGAGAAAUAUAGACUAUGGCUUGACUCGUGUAUCGACGCUACGCUUAUUUCCUGUUCGGACACAGCAGCUCGUGCUACGUAGUUAGAUGGGAAGAUCAUCGCGAAGAUUUAUGCGGAUUUUCAAAGCUCUCUCUCUCAUCGCUAAAGUCGUCGUUCAUCGUGCUAGGAAGCCAUAUUUUUCGGGAGCUAAAUAGAAAGUCCACAGUUGCUGUGGAUCGAGAGACGCUCGUCCCAAAAACGAUCGAGAGGACGCUUUGUUGAAAAAAAAUCGUGUAUAGGAAAUGAUUGCUUUCUUAUACAUUGCUGUGAACAUUUGUUAUCCAUAAAAAGGAUUUUAAUUGUUGACAAAAAAACUAAUAUUUUCGUACUAUGAUACUGUUAUCGGGAAGUUUCGUCGGCUAGAGUUUUAACCACAAGGAUUACGUGCAAAAAUCGUCAAAAUGAUAGCGCUUCAGUCGCACGCUCUCGUCAUCCUUUUGUGUGCAAGAAAGCCAAAAUAAAAGACAAGAUGGCCGUCAACGAGGUGCUGAGAUCAAUAACCUUGGGUGAAUCGUUUCUCUCACGUGCCCCAUUUUUUCGGCUGGACUUCAAUCGAGUGUUGCCUCGUUCGAUAGCUCUGUUUUUAUUACGAAAUAAUGUUGAUUUCUCAAUUGCUCAUUACAACGAACGAGAAUUAAUGGAAGCAUUUUUCUUCAAUUUGUAAUUGACCAUACGUUUAUAGAUUUGACCCAAAAAGCAAAAAAAAAAACCGGAAAAUAUUGAAAAAUAACCUUUCUCGACAAA
rnacentral:misc_RNA from 1 species